rnacentral:rRNA from 1 species
CCUACGGGGAGCAGCAGUGAGGAAUAUUGGUCAAUGGACGCAAGUCUGAACCAGCCAUGCCGCGUGCAGGAAGACGGCUCUAUGAGUUGUAAACUGCUUUUGUACGAGGGUAAACCCAGAUACGCGUAUCUGGUUGAAAGUAUCGUACGAGUAAGGAUCGGCUAACUCCGUGCCAUCAGCCGCGGUAAUACGGAGGAUCCGAGCGUUAUCCGGAUUUAUUGGGUUUAAAGGGUGCGUAGGCGGUUUGAUAAGUUAGAGGUGAAAUGUCGGGGCUCAACUCCGGAACUGCCUCUAAUACUGUUGGACUAGAGAAUAGUUGCGGUAGGCGGAAUGUAUGGUGUAGCGGUGAAAUGCUUAGAGAUCAUACAGAACACCGAUUGCGAAGGUAGCUUACCAAGCUAUAUCUGACGUUGAGGCACGAAAGCGUGGGUAGCAAACAGGAUUAGAUACCCCUGUAGUC